rnacentral:rRNA from 1 species
UGCGUAGGCGGUUAGAUAAGUCAGAGGUGAAAGCCCGCAGCUCAACUGUGGAAUUGCCUUUGAUACUGUUUGACUUGAAUCAAGUUGAGGUUGGCGGAAUGUGACAUGUAGCGGUGAAAUGCAUAGAUAUGUCAUAGAACACCAAUUGCGAGGGCAGCUAACUAGACUUGUAUUGACGCUGAGGCACGAAAGCGUGGGGAGCGAACAGGAUUAGAUACCCUGGUAGUCC